rnacentral:lncRNA from 11 species
AUGAAACUGAAAAAGCCAACAAUAUUUCCCGUUUUGAGCAGUCAAAUGUCAUCAAGAAGCCAUGCAAAGAGCAGCAGAAAUCCAGUUCAUGGUCCCCAGGAUCUGAAAAUGAGAGAUACAAUGCUCCUUUGCUUGGAGGUUCAAUUCUUAAUCUGUGAACCAUUCCAUGGAUGGGUUUCAGAGGCCCAUCAAACUAGAGAGAAAAGAAUUUGUUGCUAUUUUAUUCUCCAUGUUUCUUUGAAAAUUGUGUUUCAAUGCAAUUCCACAGCUUUCAUCAGAUUCCCAGUGAUAUCCAUGACCAAAAACAGGUUAAAACAACUGCAUCAGGAUAUCAAGUUUAACAUAACUAACCUCCAUGAAAACCUAUGCCAACACCACAAUUUGUGGGCUGUUCUGAUUUCAUUGGGGAGGGAGUUCCACAGAAGAGGGGCCACCACUGAGAAGGCCCUGUCUCUCAUCUUUACCAGUUGUGCUUGUGAACGUGGUGAGACCAAGAAGAGGGCCUCCCCCGAUGAUCUUAACCUCCAAAGUGGUUAUUAAGUUUUCAGAUGGCAUAUUUUCUGGGCUUUAUUCCUGAAGAAAGAGAGAGUAUUUUUUUUGUUAGAACAAUGAUGGUUGGAUCUCAACCUGAACAUUAUUAUAUGUCCUGUUUAUUACUUUCUUAGAUUAUUACUAGACAAGCAUAGACCCAUUGAAGCAACUGGAUAUGCCUGACUGUUGACUUGUCAUUCAGCAAUUCUUUUGGUGGGUUUAGUCUUGGUGGUAUGUAUAAUUUCUGAGUAUGGAUGUGAAAGCUGAACUAUGAAGAAAG